ACAUCUAAAACCUGCAGGACACCAGCCCUUGAGGUCUGAAGUUAGACACCCCUGGUCUAGAUUAUCCUUAAUCCUGACAUAGGCUUGUGUCUGCUCUGCUGUACCUCAAGAUAUACCACCAGGUGUCAUGGUAGUAUCCAUACUACAUUAAGCCUGAUUUAAGAUGGUGGCUGUCCAGAUACAAUGCAAGCAAGAGUCUAUGAUAUACAUGCUUUUAUAACAGAGGAGAGGAGUCACAGGCCUGUGAUCAUCUGUUGAUGUCUGACCUUCUUUCCUGUACAGUUUCACUGAUUUGAUGAAGACCCCACUGGGAUUUUCACAUAUUUUCAGAGCUUUCUUCACGUGUGUGUGUUUUUUUGUUUUUUUUUCCUUUUUGUCUAAUGGCAGAGUGUCAAGAGAGGAACUGUAGUACUGGAUGAGGAAGUCAGAAGUAUGUGAGGGUGGUGCAGGAGAUGUAAGAGAACAGCAAACCAGUGAUAAGGUGUGCAGUAGGAGUGACAGAUGAGUCCAAGGUCUAUGUGGACUUUGGUGUUCAGGUGCAUGAGGGUCGAUGAGUUUAAAUACCUCGAGUCAACCAAAGCACUGGACAGUACAUGAGUGGUGAAGUGACUGUAGACAGGCUGGAGUGGGUGGAGACGAGUGUCAAGCAUGAUUUGUGUCGGGUAAAAAUACAAGUUGGUAGUGAGAUAGUUCAUUGGUGGCACUGAUAAAAAGCCAGGCGACUGAGAUAAUUGUAGCAAAGCUAAAGAAUUUUCAUGGGGACUGAACAGGAUGAACAAGAUUAGAACAUAAAAAACAAAUUACGCAAGGUAUGAGUUUGAGAUGCUUUGGAUGAGGUAUGCUGGAUACACUGGACAACGGAUUUUGAAUAUGGAGCUGCCAGG
ensembl:lncRNA